UACGGAGGGUGCGAGCGUUAAUCGGAAUUACUGGGCGUAAAGGGCGCGUAGGUGGUGCGUUGAGUCAGCUGUGAAAGCCCUGGGCUUAACCUGGGAAUGGCAGUUGAGACUGGCGUGCUGGAGUGCGACAGAGGACGGUGGAAUUCCCGGUGUAGCGGUGAAAUGCGUAGAGAUCGGGAAGAACACCGAUGGCGAAGGCAGCCGUCUGGGUCGACACUGACGCUGAGGCGCGAAGGCGUGGGGAGCAAACAGG
rnacentral:rRNA from 1 species